AUGCUACUCCCUCCGUUCGGAAUUACUUGUCGCGGAAAUGGAUGUAUCUAGAUGUAUUUUAGUUCUAGAUACAUCCAUUUCCGAGACAAGUUAUUCCGAACGGAGGGAGUAUUAU
rfam:Triticum aestivum genome assembly, contig: Triticum_aestivum_CS42_TGACv1_scaffold_404309_5BL